UAUGAGGUGCAUCCAUUUAUCUAUUUGUGGAUACUUGGGCUGUUUCCAGCUUUUGGCUAUUAUGAAAUGCUGCUGUGAACGUGUGUACAUGUAUUUGAGUACUAGUUUCCAGUUCUUUUGGAUAUAUACUUAAGAGUGGAACCAACUGGGUCAAAUGGUAAUUCUAUGUUUAAUUUUUUGAGGAACUGCCAAACUUUCACAGCUGAAGCAUUUUACAUUCCCAUCAGCAAUGCGUGAGGGUUCCAAUUUUUCUACAUCAUUACCAACACUUGUUAUUUCCUAUUUUUAAAAAUUAUAGCCAUUCUAGUGAAUGUGAAGUGGUACCUCAUUGUGGUUAUUUGCGUUUUCCUGACGACUAAUGAUACCGAGCAUCUUUUCAUGUGUUUCUUGGCCAUUUGUAUAUCUUCUAUGGAGAAAUGUUUGUUAAGUCCUUUGCCUAUUUUUCAGUUCGGUUGUUUGUCUUUUUGUUGUUGAGUUGUAAAAGUUCUUUAUAUAUUCUGGAUACUAAACCCUUACUCGAUAGUACAUGAUUUGCAAAUAUUUUCUGCCAUUUUGUAGGUUGUCUUUUCACUUCUUGAUGAUGUUCUUUGAUAACACAAACAUUUUUAAUUUUGAAAUCCAGUUUUAUCUAUUUUUUCUUUUGUUGCCAUAUCUAAGAAUCCAUUACCAAAUCCAAGGUCAUUAAGAUUUUCUCCUGUUUUCUUCUAAGAGUUUUUAUGGUUUUAGCUCUUGUAAUUAGGUUGUUGAUCAAUUUUGAGUUAAUUUUUGUACAUGGUGUGAGGUAGGAAUCCAACUUCAUUCCUUUGCGUAUGGAUAUCCAGUUGUCCCAGCACUGUUUGCUGAAGAGACUGUUCUUUCACCUGCUACUCUUUGACACUGCUACAUCCUCUAAUGGUAGUCAGUGCUAGGACCCAAGUCCAGCUGCGAUGCAUCAACCCCAUAGCUGUAUGGGUUGCAGUUCUAAGAGGUGACCGCCUUGUCCUCAUCUGAUCUCUUUUGUCACACACCUUAAGGUGAGUCAGUGCUACCUCGUUACCAUACAGCUCCCAGCAGUGAAUAGAUAUCCCAUGAACAGCUAUGUUGGCUGUCAACGUUGAGAUGGCUUUUAGCUAUCACAUGGAUUUUUUUCCCCUCCAAGUAACUUCAGUCAAGUGUUGUGAAAAGUACAUUGUCUAAAUAGAAAAAUAGGACUUAGAACACCAGCCAAAAAUAAUCUCUACCAUAUUUCUUCCCUGGGAAACCCUCCCCCCAGAGAUUUUCACCUACAUGUCAUUGGUCAGAACUGUGUCAAAAUGCUACCCUUCGUGGCCAAUGAGUCUGGGAAAGUAGUUAUUUUGCUUUCUAGCCUCUAUAUAUAGAGAAGGCAGGGGAGAAGAUGAUUCAGAAUGAAUGCGGAAUGAGCCAUUCAAUAGUGUCUGCCACAGAGACAGACCUGUCCAAGGGUGUUUACAAUCUAGUGUUACUGUUUGUGUGCCUGGUAAGUAAAUUAAAAAAAUUGGUCUGUUGCUAUUCCAUGGUCAAAUAAGCUCUUGUUAAGAUCCUCUAAUACAAGCAUACUAUAAUUUUUAGUCAGUAAAGGCUAGAAUCAGUAUACUUACAUCUGACCUGAUUGUUGAAACUGGGACAUCUUUUUUUUUUUAAACCUUAGGGAGAGUCAGAGAAGGCCCUGGAAGUGGAGAUGGGGAUAAAAGCUUCAAACUGCACCUGUCUCUUCUCACUAUUUUGAAACAAAUGAAAAAAAUUAAAGAUUUAGUAGCAUUCAUUAAUUAAUUCAUUCAAUAACAUAAUUAUUAUAUGCUGGGGGUGCUAAGAACUUGAAUUUCCAAGCCUGAGUUGUGUUUGCAGCUUCGCCGUGCACUAACUGGGUGUGUAACAUCAGAUGUUGCACUUUGACUUGAUUGAAAACCAUUUUCAUGUACAUUGUCACUGAAUUCUCAUAACACUUGUUCGGUCGAGAGGUAGGUGAAGAGGUUUAGUCAUCUUCACAAGGUCACACAGCUGGUAAGUGGCAAAGCUGGGAUUAUAUACCAGUCUAUCUGAUACUCAAGCUUGUGCUUUUCCCCACUAUACUAGUGUGACUAUUACCUAGACGUAAUUGGUGUAUUAAGAUUGUCGGGUAAUAUUCUGUAACAGCUUCCUUUCCCACAAAUCACUGAGAUUUGGGCUCACGUGGGUAUAAAGUGCCUUCAGAGGUGAGAAUGCUCAUGUAGGGAAGAGCAUAAUAGUGGCUGGAUCUACUGAAUGUGUACAUUGUAGUACAAUUAGCUCUGUCACUCAGGUGGGCUGAGGAGACCAGAGCUUGAUGUAAACAGACUGGCUCUUUCUGACAGUCUGAAGAAGAGGGCUCCAACAUCAGGGAAAGCGGGAGCUUAAGGAAGCAUACAGAGUUCUGUGUUUUCUGGAUAGAAAAAAGCAAAAUUCAAGGAAGUCCUCUGAGGAAAAUGGCAGGUGAUAACUAGUUGAGGCUGAUUUGAACUAGCAGAAUAGUUCUGAGUUGAAGCCUAGGGACUCAGGGCCCACACACAUAGCCUGGUUUCUCCGAGAACCAAAGUUGCUGAGAAAAAUUAUGCAGCCUGAGCUCGGGGUUCUGUUACACUGUGGAUAAGAGCCAAACUCUUUAGAACCACCUGUUAGGGUCUUCAUGAUCUCACCUUUGGUAGCCUUCUAACCUCUUCUUCCACUUUCUCACAUAGAUGCUAGAUUCCAACCCCCAAACCCAAAAUUCCUCAGGUGCCACUUUUGCUUUUUGCACCUGUGUUUGGCCCUAUUAGUCUUCUCUGCCUGAAAUGCUUCUGUCCAUCUAAUGAAUUGUAUUUUCAAGUGUCAGCCCAAAUUUCACUGAUUCUGGCCCCCAGACCACGCCAUGCUUCUGUAGCAUCUUGUAAUUAUAUUAUAGUGGUUGCCAUGUUGCUUUGGAAUGAUCUGUGUCUGUGUCAGAUACUAUAGUUUGGCUCAUUCAACAUGCAUUUCCAGCCAUCUUAUAUUCCUCUAUGUAGAAAUCAGUAAACAAGAUAAUAGUAGUUGCUUUCCUAGACUUCUUUGCAGCCAGCAGUGGCCACGUGACACAAUUUUGGACAAUGAGAUAUGGAUCAAAUUUCCUGGGCAGAGCUUCCUAGGAUGAAAGCAAAGGCUUUUGGCUUUUCCCCCUCCUGCUUAGAAGGGAGAUCCAGGGGCUGGCCCUGUGGCCGAGUGGUUGGCCCCGUGGUCGAGUGGUUAAGUUCGCAUGCUCUGGUUCAGCGGCCCAGGGUUUCGCCAGUUUGGAUCCUGGGCACAGACAUGGCACUGCUCAUUAGGCUAUGCUGAGGUGACGUCCUACAUGCCACAACUAGAAGGACCCACAGCUAAAAUAUACAACUAUGUACUGGGGGAUUUGGGAAGAAAAAAAAAAGAUUGGCAACAGAUGUUAGCUCAGGCGCCAAUGUUUAAAAAAAAAAAAAAAGGCAGAUGCAAUGUUGGGAGAUAAAGCAACUGUAUUGCAACCAGGAGGAAGAAGGUUUAAGAUGGGUCGUGAAGAAUAAAGUCACCUGGCUCCUUGAUGACAACUUUGAGUGGCUAUACCAGUUCUUCACUGUCUUCCUGUGGACGUCCUCAGAUGUGAAAAACAUAAACUGUUUAUGUGUUAGCCCUGUUUGUCUAGACUGCUGUUGGUGAGGUUUUGCUAUUUGUAUCUGAAAGCAUUCCUACCCCUACUGGGUCCUUAAAAUCCUUUGGAACUUGGAGCUGUGUUUUACUCAUUGGUGUAUUCCCAGGGCCUAGCAUAGGUACAUAAAAUGUUUGUGGAAUGAAGAAUAAAAUGGAUUUAGCAGAGAGCUGCGUAGGA
rnacentral:lncRNA from 1 species